AUUGAACGCUGGCGGCAGGCCUAACACAUGCAAGUCGAACGAGUGGCGGACGGGUGAGUAAUGUCUGGGAAACUGCCUGAUGGAGGGGGAUAACUACUGGAAACGGUAGCUAAUACCGCAUACUAUUAGGUGUGCCCAGAUGGGAUUAGCUAGUUGGUGGGGUAAAGGCUCACCAAGGCCACGAUCCCUAGCUGGUCUGAGAGGAUGACCAGCCACACUGGAACGGAGACACGGUCCAGACUCCUACGGGAGGCAGCAGUGGGGAAUAUUGCACAAUGGGCGAAAUCCUGAUGCAGCCAUGCCGCGUGUAUGAAGAAGGCCUUCGGGUUGUAAAGUACUUUCGGCGGGGAGGCGUUACCCGCAGAAGAAGCACCGGCUAACUCCGUGCCAGCAGCCGCGGUAAUUC
rnacentral:rRNA from 1 species